CUUGAACCUAGAUAAUCAGAAUGAGACAUCUACAUUUUCAAGUUAGAACAAAACUAUGAUUUGUUUUCUCUGAUUCAUAUUUAUUGAUGUCAUUAAUACAAGAUCAGAUCACAGUCGUAGCUAAUUAAAAAAUAAGUAAGAAGAAGAAAAAACAUACUCAAAUAGUGUCUCAAUGAUCUUUAGGGUUGCGCUAGCUAACAGUUCAGGCUCAACAUAGUAAAAUAAAAAGAUGAAAUACAAGAUUAACUAUUCCUCCACAUUAAACCAAUUAGACCUUCUUAUACUUUGAGUGGGCCUCGUUCCCAUGUUUUUAUUCGGACCUCCAUCAUUGCUCAAGCCUUCAAGAGAAACCUUGUCACAAGGUCUGAAGAGUCAACAAUUGUCCUUGGUAAAUUAAUGGACUAAGCAGUCAUUGGGGUGUGGUUCCCAAUUUCUGAAUUUGCAGGAAGUGUGUCCAAAAUGGAGGGAUGGAUGGGAGUUUUGGGAGUCCCACUAAUUUGAAUGGACGGGCAAUCUGUCUCGCGUGUUGUCUUCCCACCUUGCAUGUUGAUUAAGGAUUGAAUGGAAAUAGGUUGGGUGGUGUGGCUUGGUUUGGGGUGGGUGGGUGGGCCUGGGUUUGUAGAGGAUGAUCCAGGAAGGUUAGUGGGGUUUAGGCUUUAGGGGUGGAUCUGGAGGUUGAGGAGGAGGAACAAUAAUAUUAGCUAGUUUAUCAGUAAUACUACAAAGAGCUUUACCAAUAGCUUCAUGUAUGGAAUCAUAUUGAUCUUGGUAUUCUUUCAAAUUCUCAUAGAACAGUUACAAUAAUGAUUCAUCAAGAUCCUUGUUUGUUCAUUUAGGAAGAAAU
rnacentral:lncRNA from 1 species